ACGCACUCCGUUGAAAUCACAAUUUUUGGGGAAGCAUAAGCCCUCUGAUUCGGUGAAGGUAUCGAAAUCUAAGUCCAGAAAGAUUUUAAUGGAAUCUAGUGACGUUGGUCAUACCAAGGAUCAAUUGUUUCCGCCAAUGCCAUCUGUGUCUGAUGAUUCCUGUCCAACAGCUGAUGUGGGGUUUUCAUUCCUUACAGAAAGUGGAAAUGAUUUCGAAGAUAGGACCCUGUUAGAUCUAAAUCCGAUAUUUAAUGCAGGGAGUGAGGAUGUACUCCGUCAUGAUUAUGUUCCCG
rnacentral:misc_RNA from 1 species